UACGAAGGGGGCUAGCGUUGUUCGGAAUUACUGGGCGUAAAGCGCACGUAGGCGGCGCAGCAAGUUAGAUGUGAAAUGCCUGGGCUUAACCUAGGAACUGCAUUUAAGACUGCUGUGCUAGAGACCGGGAGAGGGUGGCGGAAUUCCCAGUGUAGAGGUGAAAUUCGUAGAUAUUGGGAAGAACACCGGUUGCGAAGGCGGCCACCUGGACCGGCACUGACGCUGAGGUGCGAGAGCGUGGGGAGCAAACAGG
rnacentral:rRNA from 1 species